AUUGAACGCUGGCGGCAGGCCUAACACAUGCAAGUCGAACGAGUGGCGGACGGGUUAGUAAUGUAUGGGGAACUGCCCGAUGGAGGGGGAUAACUAAUGGAAACGGUAGCUAAUACCGCAUACCAUCGGAUGUACCCAGAUGGGAUUAGCUAGUAGGUGGGGUAAAGGCUCACCUAGGCGACGAUCACUAGCUGGUCUGAGAGGAUGACCAGCCACACUGGAACUGAGACACGGUCCAGACUCAUACGGGAGGCAGCAGUGGGGAAUAUUGCACAAUGGGCGCAAGCCUGAUGCAGCCAUGCCGCGUGUAUGAAGAAGGCCUUCGGGUUGUAAAGUACUUUCAGCGAGGAGGCGUUACUCGCAGAAGAAGCACCGGCUAACUCCGUGCCAGCAGCCGCGGUAAUUC
rnacentral:rRNA from 1 species